rnacentral:lncRNA from 1 species
AAAACACUUGUGGGAAAGGUCCCGCCCACAGGCAUUGCAUGCUGUAAGCGUGUGGGCAUGAUGGCCAGCAUAUGACUUGCGCACUGUGCGCACGUCUUGUCUGCGGCGGGCAUGAGACCUAGUCUUUGCGCUUGUCUUAUAGCACCCAUAUGGGCGUGGUUCGCACACAUCCCAUCACACGCAGAUGGGCAUGACUUUGUGUGCCUUAUGCGCGCAUCGUCUGCGUAAUAAGCCUGCACGGUCGGCCUACGCGUAAUAGUCCUACAUGCAGCACCUUGCACACUAUAGGUCCUACGCGUGCCAGUAGGCUAGACCUACAGUGCGCGGCUUACUAGGGUAGUGUGCUGCUAUCUCGGGCUAUGCAUGCUGCCCCCCUUGGG